UGAAGUGUUGAGUAACCGGUGAUCUUCAUCUAAAAAUGUUGAUCCUCGCGUAAAAAGAUACUUUCACAACUUAAGUAAUAUUUAGCUAUAUUAUAUAAAUAAAUCCCUCUUUAAGUUAAAUAAGAGGAUGAUCAUGGAUUUAGGAAGCAUAUUAUUGACCAUAUGAGUUACUUACUUGUAAGAUUGGGUAAGGAUGAAAAAUUGAUUUGAAUUUGUUAUAAUGACGGUAUAAUUGGCUCUCCUUUACUUGAUAUUAUGAGUACUUGAACUUAAUUGAAUAAUUGCAUAAUGGUUAUUUACCUUGCUUGGAGAAAAUGAAGUUGAAUGCUACAUAUGUUUAUUUUCAAAUUUUGGAUCAUUGUUGGUUUGUAUUUCUUAUUGCUUGAGGACAAGCAAUGGUUCAAGUGUGGGGGUAUUUGAUAAGAGUAUAUUUUACGUAUUUUUAGUGUACUUUAUUAAUUAGUUUUGGUGUGUUUUAUUUAAUUUUAUAAAUAAUUAACUAAGAUUCUAGUAAAAAUAUGCAUUGUGUGGUUAAAGUGUGAAAAUUGCAUUUCUAUUGAUUUUUAUGGUAAAAACUUCAUAUUUUGUAGGUUUAAUGAUUCAAUCAUCAAAUGAAGUGCAUUGAGAAGAUAUUUGGAUGAUUGAAGAUGGAUUAAAGUGGGG
rnacentral:lncRNA from 1 species